GAUGAACGCUGGCGGCGUGCCUAAUACAUGCAAGUCGAGCGAAUGAUGAGGAGCUUGCUCCUCUGAUUUAGCGGCGGACGGGUGAGUAACACGUGGGUAAUCUGCCUGUAAGACGGGGAUAACUCCGGGAAACCGGGGCUAAUACCGGAUAAUAAGAGAAGAAGCAUUUCUUCUUUUUGAAAGUCGGUUUCGGCUGACACUUACAGAUGAGCCCGCGGCGCAUUAGCUAGUUGGUGAGGUAACGGCUCACCAAGGCGACGAUGCGUAGCCGACCUGAGAGGGUGAUCGGCCACACUGGGACUGAGACACGGCCCAGACUCCUACGGGUGGCUG
rnacentral:rRNA from 1 species